AUGGAAGUUGGUCUAAGACUCCUUCCUCAAAUUAUCAGCUCAAAGAGUAACUCAAAUAUUCUUAUCAAAUCUGCAAUGAAAAAGCCAAACCAAACCAUCCCUAUGGAUUUUUGCUUCCUUAAAACUUGCAAUAUGUGUAAUAAACAGCUUAGCCAAGACAAAGAUAUCUACAUGUACAGGGGAGAUCAAGGUUUCUGCAGUAUAGAGUGCCGGAACAAGCAAAUAGUUUUGGAUGACAUGAAAGAAUUUGAGAUCUCUACUAAACGAAUGGUAAAAUCUUAUAGGCAAUGUUGUAAUGAGGCACGCAGAGAGACAAGCCUUAUUCUGAAGGAUAUUCGAAUGCAAAGACUGAAAUCUAAAGUAUAA